rnacentral:rRNA from 1 species
AUGCCGAGGCCGGUGCCCCCAAGGCCGCUGCCGCAGCGCGAGGACACGGGGUGGCCGCAGAGGCCCGAGUUCCCGGAGAAGGAGUCCUUGGAGAAGGCAGAGCCGAGCUGGGACGGGAUCUGGCCCUCGAGGCGGUUCCCGGAGAGGUCGAGCGCCUUGAGGCGGUCGAGGCGCGCGAGGGAGGCGGGGAUCUGGCCGGAGAAGGCGUUGUCGCUGAGCUUGAGCGAAUUGAGGAAGCGGCAGUUGGCGAGCUCGGAGGGGAGCGGGCCGGUGAGGCGGUUGCCGGAGAGGUCGAGGUUGACGACGAAGGGGAUCCAGUCGCAGAGCGCGGGGGGUAUCUGGCCCUCGAGCGCGUUGGAGGAGAGGUCGAGCGUGUUGGCGGAGCGGCAGUACUGGAGCGCGGGGGGGAUUUUGCCCUGGAGGCCGAAGCCGGAGAGGGAGACGGCGAGGAUGCGCGACUCCUGCGGGUUCCAGCAGGAGAUGCCG